rnacentral:rRNA from 1 species
UACGGAGGGUGCGAGCGUUGUCCGGAAUCACUGGGCGUAAAGGGCGCGUAGGUGGCGCGGCAAGUCAACGGUGAAAGCUCGACGCUCAACGUCGAGUCGGCCGUCGAUACUGCCGCGCUGGAGCACUGUAGAGGCUCAUGGAAUUCCUGGUGUAGCGGUGAAAUGCGCAGAUAUCAGGAAGAACACCUAUGGCGAAGGCAGCUCUCUGGGACGGUACUGACGCUGAGACGCGAAAGCGUGGGGAGCGAACAGG